rnacentral:rRNA from 1 species
AUACGGAGGAUGCAAGCGUUAUCCGGAUUUAUUGGGUUUAAAGGGUGCGUAGGCGGUUUGCUAAGCGGGAGGUGAAAUGCCGGCGCUCAACGUCGGAAGUGCCUCCCGAACUGGUGGACUUGAAUGACUCUGCCGUGGGAGGAAUGUGUAGUGUAGCGGUGAAAUGCUUAGAGAUUACACAGAACACCGAUUGCGAAGGCAUCUCACGAAGGGUUGAUUGACGCUGAGGCACGAAAGCGUGGGGACCAAACAGGAUUAGAUACCCUGGUAGUCCACGCAGUAAACGAUGAUGGCUAACCGCUGGGCUUAUCAGUUCAGUGGCCAAGCGAAAGCGAUAAGCCAUCCACCUGGGGAGUACGACCGCAAGGUUGAAACUCAAAGGAAUUGACGGGG